AUCGCUUCUCGGCCUCUUGGGCUAAGAUCAUCCGUAGUAUCUGUUCUUAUCAGCUUAAUAUCUGAUACGGUCCUAUUAUGGGCCUUGUGAUAUUAACUGUAUUUUUGUAAUGCGGUGCUAGGAAGGGGCUUGCCUCUCCAGUGCCACGGGUUGUCCUGGUAUUGCACUAAAGCCGGGUACAGCCCACAUUUC